CUCCAACAGGAACCAGGGGAGCUGUUCAUUGAAUUCGGGCUGUCAGUGCCAGUAUUACCGUACACUCCGAUCUCCGCUUCUCUUAUUCUGACGGUUCCGGCCG